AGAGUAGGCGUGUUUUGAAUAACAAGCUCGGUACGGAAGUAACGAAGCCCGACACCCGAUGCGCUUCAGAUUUUGCACUGUGAGAUUCCGGAAAAAUGGCCCGACCUUCAAUCACCGCUUUUCUCGUUAACGAACACUUGCAGAAGGUCAUGGGGACGCACGACGUUUUUUGCGAUCAUCUAGAUCUGCUCAGCGGCGCUGUGAGCCUUGUCCACGAUGAGCUCAAGCUCAUCGAGGAGUCGCUUCGGGAAUUCCGGACCCUGCUCGGGGGCUUCGAGGAAGGAGCACACGAGCAAUCGUCUCCUCCAGGUACCGAUGGCUGAUCCGGUUGCUCGUCGUUUGGCACGAAAGGCGCUACCCAGGCUGAACCAGGGUUUAUAAGGAAGGAGCUCUUUUAAAAAAUAAAUCUGCGAAUAUGAGAAA